CCCACAAGCCGCAUGACAAACCUGUGUGUCAAGAUUAUAACUUUUCAGAGUUAAGAUCAGAGAGGACACAUUUGCUGAGAACCAAGAGUUGGGCUACAAGACAUUGCAGACUACCAGGAGUUGAAAUGGGUCUUCCAGACGGGCUGUUAGAGUUCUUGGGGCCAGUAGGGUGGGGGGCAGCAGCGCUGGUAGGGGUGGUUAUAUUGAUUCAAGUGGUUAAAAAGAACAGAGAGGAGAAACGUUCUAUUUCUCCAGGAACUCACAAGUGUUUUGGUGACGAGAGAACACGGUUGAAGGAGGAAAAGUCGAAUGAAGCUUCUGGAAGAACUGGAAACUCUAGGAAGAAGAGAGUAGAACCGUGCCGUCAUGCCGAACAUGAGGAUGACAUAAUGAAAGGUUACGGCCUUGGACAUGUUCACAAAUAUAAAGACAUCCGCCUAUGUCAGCGUUCCACAUCUGUAGUGGAAGGUGGCCGAACUACAGACCAUGAGACAUCCCAAAACUCAGUCUUCUCACGAAAACGUCUGUAGCGUCC
ensembl:lncRNA